UGGUUAUGGUCGGCAUCCGACACCGACAGUCCGACUGAGUUAGUGGAGUGUUGUUCGUCAAAUUUCGCGUAGUAUAGAGUUCAACGGGAAGUUUUGAUGGUGUUGCUCGUCUCUGUUGUCUAUCUUCAAUGUUUUCUUUUCAGAAGCUGCAGAAAGUUGGCCUUUCGUUCAAACUAUGAAGAGGAUCUGGGUAUAAUAUACCACUACAAAUGAUGGUGUGGAGGUGAGGAAAGAGUUAGGCUGGCGACAGCGAGGAACGCGCUAACCGGUUACCUAUGCCUACAUGUUAUUGUAAUAACCACAAUGCCUCGCUAUUUAUAUUUCGGGUACUCUCAACACGGGCCUUAACUCAAGCCUUGGAUCCAAAUGAAAAUAUGCAGCCAUUUUGAUGUCCGGCAACAGGAUUCAAACACGCCAUGUCAAGUGGCUGGACUCUUGCACGUGAUUUGCAUUGACUUGCAUAAUGCUGUUAGUAUUAAUGAAAGUUAAUGUGGUUGUUUGAGAAAUAAAUUUAUUAAUUACCUAAUAACCUGACCUUGGUGUCCUGAUACCUUGCAUUUAUCUAAGGAACUGUAAAAAUACUUUUUCAACCCACUAGUCGGUGUGAGUGUAUUGGUGGUAUGAAGAUUUUAGAGCCACUAAACUAU